ACCAUUGUCCAAUUUUUCUAAGC
rnacentral:siRNA from 1 species